rnacentral:rRNA from 1 species
CAGCCGCCGCGGGAAUACGUAGGUGGCAAGCGUUGUCCGGAAUUAUUGGGCGUAAAGGGCUCGCAGGCGGUUUCUUAAGUCUGAUGUGAAAGCCCCCGGCUCAACCGGGGAGGGUCAUUGGAAACUGGGAAACUUGAGUGCAGAAGAGGAGAGUGGAAUUCCACGUGUAGCGGUGAAAUGCGUAGAGAUGUGGAGGAACACCAGUGGCGAAGGCGACUCUCUGGUCUGUAACUGACGCUGAGGAGCGAAAGCGUGGGGAGCGAACAGGAUUAGAGACCCCGGUAGUCCCUGUCUCUUAUAC